rnacentral:rRNA from 1 species
AUUGAACGCUGGCGGCAGGCCUAACACAUGCAAGUCGAGCGAGCGGCGGAAGGGUGAGUAAUGUCUGGGAAACUGCCUGAUGGAGGGGGAUAACUACGGGAAACGGUAGCUAAUACCGCAUACCAUCAGAUGUGCCCAGAUGGGAUGAGCUAGUAGGUGGGGUAACGGCUCACCUAGGCGACGAUCCCUAGCUGGUCUGAGAGGAUGACCAGCCACACUGGAACUGAGACACGGUCCCGAAUCCUACGUGAGGCAGCAGUGGGGAAUAUUGCACAAUGGGCGCAAGUCUGAUUCAGCCAUGCCGCGUGUAUGAAGAAGGCCUUCGGGUUGUAAAGUACUUUCAGCGGGGAGGCGUUACCCGCAGAAGAAGCACCGGCUAACUCCGUGCCAGCAGCCGCGGUAAUUC